rnacentral:rRNA from 1 species
CUGGCGGCGUGCCUAACACAUGCAAGUCGAGCGAGAAAGCCUCCUUCGGGAGGUGAGGUAAAGCGGCGGACGGGUGAGUAACACGUGAGCGAUCUACCCGACGGCGGGGGAUAACUCAGGGAAACCUGAGCUAAUACCGCAUACAGCACUGGCUUGAAAGCCGGAUGUGAAAGCUGGCCUCUCGAAGAAGCUGGCACCGGUUGGAUGAGCUCGCGGCCUAUCAGCUUGUUGGUGGGGUAACGGCCUACCAAGGCGAUGACGGGUAGCUGGCGUGAGAGCGUGGCCAGCCACACUGGGACUGAGACACGGCCCAGACUCCUACGGGAGGCAGCAGUGGGGAAUAUUGCGCAAUGGACGAAAGUCUGACGCAGCGACGCCGCGUGGGGGAGGACGGCCCCAGGGUUGUAAACCCCUGUCAGGUGGGACGAACCACGGAUCGGUUAAUACCCGGUCCGCCUGACGGUACCACCAGAGGAAGCUCCGGCUAACUCCGUG